UGCCCAAUAUACGGGCCCGGCGGUGCAUCUUGUAAUCCUAUUUUGUUCUUAAAUGUUUUGAGUGUGACAAGGAGGAAGGUGGGAGCAUUAUCUAAGUAACAGUUUAAAAGUUUUGGUAUAUCUGCAGUGGUGUUUGGUCAGUUUCCCAAGUAUGGGGGGCGGGGGGGCUGACUGAUUAUCAAAGCAGUAGAAUGGAGAGUCACUUCUUUGGUGGUUCGGGCCUGAGCCCUGGGAAUUUGGUAAGAAGGGGGAGAGCGAAUUUAUUUAGGCCUCAAUACCUUUUAAACCCCCAUCUUGACGGAUACGCAGGAGUGAUUCCUUGUUUUGUGUGGGCUUACUAACAAAGUGCAUGAGAAAAAUUAGCAUUCGGCUUGAAAUUCGGUCCUGUUGAAAUGUAAAUUUUGUGGAAAAGGUGUUAUUGUUUGUCCAGAAGAUGGAAGGCUGAGUGCUUCAGGUGUUUUCCCGAAGUCCUGCGGAUUUAUGAUUGGAACGGGGCUCAUUAAUAAUCUGAAAUAAUGGGGUCUGUAUGUGGAAAGAAGAGUUUAAUCCCAGAGAACUGGGACAUUUGGGAAGAAGAUUAGGAAAAGGUAGUAAAAACCUGCAACAAAAAGGUUUGCACGGAAAUUGAAACAAGGGACAGUAACUAAUAUAAAUAAAUAAAAGGGAAUGGGAAAUCAAGGAAAUGGGUAAAAUCCAAAA